ensembl:lncRNA
GGUCCUAAGGUUGGAGAAGGACAUGAUGCAGAUGAGGCUGAGUUUGGACAGAGGCGGUGGCGGCCACGCGUCCGAAAAGAGUCCUGGAGUCAGCAGAAGUCAUGACGACUCCAACAGACAGGUCUGUGCUUCAUGAAUCACAACAAUGGAGCUGUGAUUUAAUUGGCUUAUUGUUCUCUGUAGUUUCUUCAUUACAUGGUUUUACAUGCAUAUUUUUAAGGAGAAGCAAAAGGCUGCCAUAGACGCUGAAAUAAGGGCAAGAAAACAAGACAAAGAGCAAAACCAGGGGUCUGCAGAGGUUAGUUUUAAAAUGACUCAAGUGUUUAAUCAAAUGUAAAAUGACACGUCAGGAAAUUGUGCUGGUGUUUUUACCUCCAGACACAGAGAAUGCUGUUGAAUCAAAUCGAGGAGCUGAAGCAGAGGCUCAGCCACGCCGUACAGAAUCACUUUGAGGCACAAGAGCGGCUGACUGAUGCUAACAAUAAGAUUAGUCAAGCAUGCCUGGAGAAAGCUGUCUUGUCAACUCAGGUGCUGAAGCUGGAAGAUAAAGUAAAAGACCUGAAGACCCAACUAACGGCGGCUCUGUCUGACAAACACAACCUGACCCAAGUAUCAUAUUCAUAUAAUUUUAUGAAGUAAUUAUAUUUUAUGUUUUAGAAGUAUUAUUUAGUUUCUCUGCGUGUGCCAUGUGUAGGAAAAAGAGACAGGAUCAGAGAAAGCAGAGGUCCACAGUAACGGGUCUCAUAAUGACAAAGAGGUUGGAAGAAAGGCUGAAAGCUUAAAAUAGAUCUAACAUAAUUUCUACAUCAAAUGAUCAUGCUUUUGUUUUUACACAAGGUAAAUGAAAAGCUGUCACAUGAACUUGGAAUCAUCCAGAAGAAGCUGGCGAUAUUACAGAGUCAGCUCCAGGAGCGAACAGCUGAAAAUGUCAAGAAGUCCACACGGAUCAGAGACCUGGAGGCAGAAAAGUCUCAGCUGAUCCAAGAAAAAGAGGAACUGAUGAGCAAAAUGAGUGAAAGUGAGCAUGAGAUGAAAGAGAGGUGCUGCCAGCUCAGGGAAUCUUUGGACGUCUUGCGAAUGGAAAAACAGAAACUGCAGGAUCAGUGUUUGUGUUUGGAGGCGAAACUUAAAAAUGAUGCAGUGAGAGUCCAAACCGUGGAGGAACUAAAAGCUGUGGCUUCGCAUUGGACAGAGAAAUGGCAGCAAGCGGCUUCAGCCCUGCAGACCCUCGAAGGGAGCAACUGCAGGAAUGACAAGGAGUCUGAUUUGUUGCUGACGGCUGAGCUUGAGGCACACAAACAGCAACUGGAGCUGGACAGAAGCCGGAGUCAGACCCCGCUGCACUCAUUUCAUAAGUAUAAAGGUAACCGUGCAUUCAAUUCUGUCUGCAGAUCCGCUCGGCUACCGUAGAUUAAUAAAAUUCUGUGCCCCAGAUGAUAUUUUAUAUAAUUUUAUUCUUCACACGAGUCAAACCAAUGUAAUGUUUGCAGCUGGUGAGGCUCAGGACAAGAACACACAGACGGAGUGAGUGGGUUGUGAUGAGAUUUUCAUUUUCAAAAUGCUUCAUCAGCAAAUGCUCAAAAUGAAAUUCUGUUAUCUGUGUCUCUGUCCACUCAUCAGCUUAUCAGAAUCCUCUUUGUCAUGGGAGUCACCACCAGAUCACCAGAGCAGCCACAACAAAUACACUCAGGUGACAAUGAACACUCAACAUGUGACAGUAAGUUGUAGAACGUUAACUCUCCUCCUGUGUGAUUAACAGGUGUUCAUGGAAAACCCUGAGCUCCAAUGGUUAAAGGUGGAACUUGCAGAAAAAGAGAAACUGCUGAAGGAAAAGACAGAAGCAUUGAUGAGUUUAGAAACGCUGAGAGAGACGGAAAAAAACGAGGCUCGAAUCAGGAUCUGUGCUUUGGAGCUCCAGGUCGGGGAAAAGACCUCUAAAGAGCUUCAUGAUGAUGUUUGGACCACGGACUCGCUGAAGGCCCAGCUAGAAGGUACGAGCGUCGUCUGGCAAAGGCUCGUGUUGGUAACAUAUGAGCGGUCCUCACUGUCUGUCCCGACAUACUGCAUGCUUUCAGAGAGCAGGAGGAGGAUGAGCCAGCUGCAGCAGGAAAAAAUGCUGGCGGUCCAAAGGCUUCAGACCCUUCAACAGAUUUACCAGAUCAAAGCUGAAAAACAAUCUCUCGAAGGCAGUAAAGAAAAACCUUCAUGUCCUGCAGGUCUUGAAACUGACCAGCAGAGGAGGAUGAUCAACGAGCAGUUAAAGAAUCUGUUUAAAGAACGAGAAGAAAAAAAAGCAGGAAAGAUCGACAAUGCGGCAGCAGCAGCAGCAACUCAGACUGACUCUUUCUCACAUCAAGACCAAACCUACACACCUAAAGCCGUGAGAGUAAGCUCCUCUCCUCCAGAGCAAAAUCCACUGAUACAGACUUUAGCAGCUACAUCAAUAUUAACAUGCAUCUGCUCUUUAUUCAGACUCCUGUGGACAGGUGGAGCUGGCAGCUGA